AGAAGCAGCCAUCCUUUAAAGAGUGCGUAAUAGCUCACUAGUCGAGGGGUUCUGCGCCGAAAAUUAUCGGGGCUAAGUCAUUCACCGAAGCUGCGGGAUUCUUUAUGAAUCGGUAGGGGAGCGUUCUCAAUGCGUUGAAUCUGAAUUGUGAGAUUUGGUGGAGCGUUGAGAAGUGAGAAUGUCGGCAUGAGUAGCGACAAUCUUUGUGAGAAUCAAAGACACCGGAAGUCCGAGGUUUCCUACGCAACGUUGAUCGGCGUAGGGUUAGUCGGUCCUAAGGAGUAGCCGAAAGGUGAAUCCGAUGGACAGCUGGUCAAAAUUCCAGCACCGUAAUUAUCCUGCUAUGCAAAGAAGUGACGCGAUAAGGAAUGCUUGGCAUGCCUAUUGGACAUGGCGUGUGGGGCUCUGUAGGGAAGUGAUUGUGGUUAAAAGAACAGUUACGUUAUUAACUGAGGGGGCUUCAAACUUUAAGGCUUAGGCCUUGGAGAAUUAAGCAAGAACUAUGUCGCCGAGAAAAGCUUCGUUGAUAGGGAUAUUACGUCCGUACCGAAAACCGACACAGGUGGACAGGGGUAAAAGCCCCCAGGUGAACGAGAAAACCAUCCUUAAGGAACUCGGCAAAUUAACCCCGUAACUUCGGAAUAAGGGGAGCCUAAAACAUAUUAGACUUAGCGUUGAAAGUGUUUUAGGCCGCAGAGAAUUGGUCUGAGCGACUGUUUAUCAAAAACACAGGUCUGUGCUAAAUCGAAAGAUGACGUAUACAGGCUGACGCCUGCCCAGUGCCGGCAGGUUAACGCGAGAAGUGAGAGCUUUGAGCCGAAGCCCCGGUGAACGGCGGCCGUAACUAUAACGGUCCUAAGGUAGCGAAAUCCCUUGUCGGGUAAGUUCCGACCUGCACGAAAGGCGUAACGACUUGGACACUGUCUCAAGGAUGGACUCGGUGAAAUUGCAUGACCCGUAAAGAUGCGGGUUACGCGCAGCAGGACAAAAAGACCCCGUGGAGCUUUACUGCAGCUUGACAUUGGUUCGAGCUUUAACCUGUGUAGGAUAGGCGGGAGACUAUGAAUUAGAUGCGCCAGCAUUUAAGGAGUCGCCCUUGAAAUACCGCCCUGAUUACAGUUUGAAUCUAACUUUUACUAGAACAGUGUCUGGUGGGCAGUUUGACUGGGGCGGUCGCCUCCCAAAGAGUAACGGAGGCGCACAAAGGUCACCUCAGGCUGGAUGGAAAUCAGCCUUAGAGCGUAUUGGUAUAAGGUGGCUUGACUGCGAGACAUACAAGUCGAGCAGGGACGAAAGUCGGUCAAAGUGAUCCCACGGUACCGUGUGGAAGGGCCGUGGCUUAACGGAUAAAAGCUACCCCGGGGAU
rnacentral:rRNA from 1 species